rnacentral:tRNA from 1 species
GCCUACGUAGCUUAAAAUCAAAGCGUAGCACUGAAGAUGCUGAGAUGAAGUUUUGUCAACUCCCGAAGGCA